AUUAAGUUCACUUGUACAGUAUCCUUCUCCGCUUUUACAAACAUGACUGAGGGCGGUGACAGUGGUGGUUGCGGUGGCAAUGGCGGUAAUAAAAAGACACAACCUGAAGUGGCGUUAGCUCUACCACAUCCAGUGAAAGAACAAUUACCUGAUGUUCAGUAUUGCAUUAAGAGUCCUCCUCCCUGGCAACAAGCAGUGUUAUUGGGAUUUCAGCAUUAUAUUCUGACUCUUGGUGUGACAGUUCUGAUUCCAACAACGAUCGUUACUGAAAUGGGUGGGGGCCAUGCUGAGAAGGCCAAGGUGAUACAGAA
rnacentral:sRNA from 1 species